CUGGAGAUGGUGGCAGACGCUGUUGACGGCCACGUGAACGGCUGGCAACAAUCAGGGACAGAGAACUGAAGGACAUACUCAUAGAGGAAGAAAUGAGAGUUGCCAGGAAAUGCUUGAAAGGACAGGGUCUCACUCUGUAGCCCAGAGUGGAACUCACCGUCUAGCCCUGACCAACUCUCAAACUAGUGGCAAUUCUCCUGUCUCAGACUCUCAAGUGCUGUGAUCCCAGCGACUCGGCAGACUGAGGAGGAGGUCCAGGUAGCCCAGCACUGGCUGUCUUGUUGCGGUAAUCCUUCUGGAGUGCGCGCUCCGGCACCAGGGAGAGUGGAGGAGAGGAGAUGUCACAGUGGACCAAAGCCAGCGGAGCUCCUGAAGGACUCUGACAACAGCCCAGUUUACAGUCUCACUUCAUACUCUAAAGCUGCAAGGUGGGGCAGGCAAGUGAGGUUUCACAGAAGCACCCAUGCAGUCAGCAGGUUGGGUUGUGAAGGGCAGCGACCCCAUUGUAUUAGCUGUUUAUCCGGGUCCUUCUGUUCCAGGUAGGCAAAUAAAUCAAUGAAUCGGUACCUAA